UAGGGAAUAUUGCACAAUGGAGGAAACUCUGAUGCAGCGACGCCGCGUGAGUGAUGAAGGCCUUCGGGUUGUAAAGCUCUGUUCUACGGGAAGAAAAAAAUGACGGUACCGUAGAAGAAAGGACCGGCUAACUUCGUGCCAGCAGCCGCGGUAAUACGAAGGGUCCUAGCGUUGUUCGGAAUCAUUGGGCGUAAAGCGGGUGUAGGCGGCCAAUUAAGUCAGAAGUGAAAGCCCUGGGCUCAACCCGGGAAGUGCUUUUGAAACUGAUUGGCUUGAGUGUGGGAGAGGAUAGUAGAAUUCCUGGUGUAGUGGUGAAAUACGUAGAUAUCAGGAGGAAUACCGGUGGCGAAGGCGGCUAUCUGGCCCAACACUGACGCUCAGACCCGAAAGCGUGGGGAGCAA
rnacentral:rRNA from 1 species